rnacentral:misc_RNA from 1 species
CAGGUUUGCAACUACUGGAACAGGCCUUCGAGAAGUGCAGCGACGGAAAGGGCUUCUUUGGCGGCGACACCAUCGGAUACCUCGACAUUGCUCUUGGAAGUUACUUGGGUUGGCUGAGGAUAUCGAAGCAGCUAACGGACAUUGAGUUUUUGGAUGGAGAAAAGACGCCACUACUGGCAGGAUGGGCGGAGCGCUUCUGCUCCGAUGCCGCCGUGAAGGAGGUGAUGCCGGAGACUGAGAAGUUGGCUGAGUUUGUCAAGGACAGGUUUAAGGCUCCUGCACAAUAAGGUCUGGGUGUGGUGUGAACUUCUGUACUUUUGAACUUGUAUCUGAG